CAUAUUGUCAUGGAGCAGUGUGUUUUUCAAGUGAGGAUAGACAUUACUGGGAAUAAGCUAAGAGCCCACAAGAAGGACUGCCACGCCAUCUUCCUGAUCAGGUGAGCAAAGCACAACAAGCCUUGCUGUAGGUGUUCUGUCUGGCCAGGAUGGAAAGCUUUUCCUGGGCUCCUGCUCCAUGGGCUGGUACAGCUCUAAUGGCCGUUGCUUCAAGUAUAUUGCCAUGCGUGUUGAUUGGGCCAAUGCAGAGUCACACUGAGUGUCUCAGAAAGCUAACCUGGCCUCUGUUCACUACCUGGAUUAACACUACAUUAUAAACAACCUGAUCAAGAUCUACGACCCAGCUGAGAGUCUCACCUGGAUCGGAUUGAGUAACAUCCACAAGGAGG